UCUGGCGACCGGCGCACGGGUGAGUAACACGUAUCCAACCUGCCCUUUACUCGGGGAUAGCCUUUCGAAAGAAAGAUUAAUACCCGAUAGCAUAAUGAUUCCGCAUGGUUUCAUUAUUAAAGGAUUCCGGUAAAGGAUGGGGAUGCGUUCCAUUAGGUUGUUGGUGAGGUAGCGGCUCACCAAGCCUUCGAUGGAUAGGGGUUCUGAGAGGAAGGUCCCCCACAUUGGAACUGAGACACGGUCCAA
rnacentral:rRNA from 1 species